rnacentral:rRNA from 1 species
UACGUAGGGUGCGAGCGUUGUCCGGAUUUAUUGGGCGUAAAGGGCUCGUAGGCGGCGUGUCGCGUCGGGAGUGAAAGCCCGUUGCUUAACGGCGGGUUGGCUUUCGGUACGGGCAUGCUGGAGUGCGGCAGGGGAGACUGGAAUUCCUGGUGUAGCGGUGGAAUGCGCAGAUAUCAGGAGGAACACCGGUGGUGUAGACGGCUCUCUGGACCGUAACUGACGCUGAGGCACGAAAGCGUGGGUAGCAAACAGG